rnacentral:rRNA from 1 species
UACGGAGGGUGCAAGCGUUAUCCGGAUUCACUGGGUUUAAAGGGUGCGUAGGCGGGCAGGUAAGUCAGUGGUGAAAUCUCCGAGCUUAACUCGGAAACUGCCAUUGAUACUAUUUGUCUUGAAUAUUGUGGAGGUAAGCGGAAUAUGUCAUGUAGCGGUGAAAUGCUUAGAUAUGACAUAGAACACCAAUUGCGAAGGCAGCUUACUACACAAUUAUUGACGCUGAGGCACGAAAGCGUGGGGAGCGAACAGG